GACGAACGCUGGCGGCGUGCCUAAUACAUGCAAGUCGAACGCAGUGGGGACGGGUGAGUAACACGUGGGUAACCUCCCAUCAGAGGGGAUAACACUUGGAAACAGGUGCUAAACCGAUACUGAUGGAUGGAACCGCGGGGCAUUGGCUAGUGGGUGGGGUAACGGCUAACCAAGGCCACGAUGCAUAGCCGACCUGCGAGAGUGAUCGGCCCCACUGGUACUGAGACACGGCCCAGACUCCUCCGUGAGGCAGCAGUAGGGAAUCUUCGGCAAUGGACGAAAGUCUGACCGAGCAACGCCGCGUGAGUGAAGAAGGUUUUCGGAUCGUAAAACUCUGUUGUUAGAGAAUCGGGAUCUAACCAGAAAGCCACGGCUAACUACGUGCCAGCAGCCGCGGUAAUAC
rnacentral:rRNA from 1 species